rnacentral:rRNA from 1 species
AACGAACGCUGGCGGCAGGCCUAACACAUGCAAGUCGAACGCCCCGCAAGGGGAGUGGCGCACGGGUGGGUAACGCGUGGGAAUAUGCCCUUCGCGUCGGAAUAACACAGGGAAACUUGUGCUAAUACCGGAUACGAUCUACGGAUGAAAGAUUUAUCGCCGAGGGAGUAGCCCGCGUAGGAUUAGCUAGUUGGUGAGGUAACGGCUCACCAAGGCGACGAUCCUUAGCUGGUCUGAGAGGAUGAUCAGCCACACUGGAACUGAGACACGGCCCAGACUCCUACGGGAGGCAGCAGUGGGGAAUAUUGGACAAUGGGCGAAAGCCUGAUCCAGCCAUGCCGCGUGAGUGAUGAAGGCCUUAGGGUUGUAAAGCUCUUUCGCCAGGGAAGAUAAUGACGGUACCUGGAAAAGAAGCCUCGGCUAACUCCGUGCCAGCCGCCGCAGUAAGAC